GUGAGUAACACGUGGAUAACCUACCUAUAAGACUGGGAUAACUUCGGGAAACAGGAGCUAAUACCGGAUAAUAUAUUGAACCGCAUGGUUCAAUAGUGAAAGACGGUUUUGCUGUCACUUAUAGAUGGAUCCGCGCCGCAUUAGCUAGUUGGUAAGGUAACGGCUUACCAAGGCAACGAUGCGUAGCCGACCUGAGAGGGUGAUCGGCCACACUGGAACUGAGACACGGUCCAG
rnacentral:rRNA from 1 species